rnacentral:lncRNA from 1 species
CACCCGCUCCCCUGGGGCACGAGAGAAAGCUGAUGCCCAUGCUGUCCCUAGAGCCAGCUGCCACUUCUCCAGGGGCCUCUGUAGCUCCUGACCUGCUGUCCGCAAAUAACCCUGGGCUGGGAGAGGCAGGCAUAAGGCACUUUGGGCUCCAUGGCCCCUGUGCAGGCCCAGGCUUCCAGACUAUACUGUAUCGGAGGAGCCUCCUGCAUGUCCUGCUGCCCUGAGCUCUCUCAAGCUAGGUGACAGCGUGUUAAUGCUGCCACCAUGAAUGAGGUAUCUGUCAUCAAAGAAGGCUGGCUCCACAAACGUGGUGAAUACAUCAAGACCUGGAGGCCCCGGUACUUCCUUCUGAAGAGUGAUGGAUCUUUUAUUGGGUAUAAAGAGAGACCUGAGGCCCCCGACCAGACCCUACCCCCCCUUAACAAUUUCUCUGUAGCAGAAUGCCAGCUGAUGAAGACUGAGAGGCCACGACCCAACACCUUUGUCAUACGCUGCCUGCAGUGGACCACAGUCAUCGAGAGGACCUUCCAUGUCGACUCUCCAGAUGAGAGGGAAGAGUGGAUACGGGCUAUCCAGAUGGUAGCCAACAGUCUG